rnacentral:rRNA from 1 species
AUUGAACGCUGGCGGCAUGCCUUACACAUGCAAGUCGAGCGGCAGCGCGGGGGCAACCCUGGCGGCGAGCGGCGAACGGGUGAGUAAUGCAUCGGAACGUGUCCUCUUGUGGGGGAUAACCAGUCGAAAGACUGGCUAAUACCGCAUGAGCUCGUAAGAGGAAAGCAGGGGACCCGCAAGGGCCUUGCGCGAGAGGAGCGGCCGAUGCCCGAUUAGCUAGUUGGUGGGGUAAAAGCCUACCAAGGCGACGAUCGGUAGCUGGUCUGAGAGGACGACCAGCCACACUGGGACUGAGACACGGCCCAGACUCCUACGGGAGGCAGCAGUGGGGAAUUUUGGACAAUGGGGGCAACCCUGAUGCAGCGACGCCGCGUGGGUGAGGAAGUUCUUCGGAAUGUAAAGCCCUUUUGACCGGGAAGAAUCAAUUGACGGUACCGGUCGAA